rnacentral:rRNA from 1 species
GAUGAACGCUGGCGGCGUGCCUAAUACAUGCAAGUCGAGCGAACGGACGAGAAGCUUGCUUUUCUGAUGUUAGCGGCGGACGGGUGAGUAACACGUGGAUAACCUACCUAUAAGACUGGGAUAACUUCGGGAAACCGGAGCUAAUACCGGAUAAUAUUUUGAACCGCAUGGUUCAAAAGUGAAAGACGGUCUUGCUGUCACUUAUAGAUGGAUCCGCGCUGCAUUAGCUAGUUGGUAAGGUAACGGCUUACCAAGGCAACGAUGCAUAGCCGGCCUGAGAGGGUGAUCGGCCACACUGGAACUGAGACACGGUCCAGACUCCUACGGGAGGCAGCAGUAGGGAAUCUUCCGCAGUGGGCGAAAGCCUGACGGAGCAACGCCGCGUGAGUGAUGAAGGUCUUCGGAUCGUAAAACUCUGUUAUUAGGGAAGAACAUAUGUGUAAGUAACUGUGCACAUCUUGACGGUACCUAAUCAGAAAGCCACGGCUAACUACGU